UACAGGGGGGGCAAGCGUUGUUCGGAAUUACUGGGCGUAAAGGGCUCGUAGGUGGCCAACUAAGUCAGACGUGAAAUCCCUCAGCUUAACUGGGGAACUGCGUCUGAUACUGGAUGGCUUGAGUUUGGGAGAGGGAUGCGGAAUUCCAGGUGUAGCGGUGAAAUGCGUAGAUAUCUGGAGGAACACCGGUGGCGAAGGCGGCAUCCUGGACCAACACUGACACUGAGGAGCGAAAGCCGGGGGAGCAAACGGG
rnacentral:rRNA from 1 species